rnacentral:lncRNA from 1 species
AAAGUAUAACUAAUUCAUAUACUAGUUGGAAUAGAACUACUGUAGUAUGAUACUAAAGGUGCGUUUGGUUCGCACUAUCUUUUUAAGAUUCCUAGUAAUCCAAUAGAAAUAAAAAAAUAUGACAGUGUUUGGCUAAACGCACUAAGUAAUCUAGUUGGAAAUAUUAGAUUUACUUGGAAAUGAGAUUCGUCCCAAAGUACUAAUCUCAUUCCCUUGAGAGAGGGUGGUAUCCUCAUAUUAAUGGAUUGGAGUAAUCAUAAUAUGUCUAAUUUUUUUCUUUCUCCCUACCUGCCGGCUAGUUGGUAUUACUUUCCUUUACACUCUAACCUCAUAUCUCUCUUUAAACUUAUCUUUUUCUCUCUAAACUUCAACUUUUUUUCUCUCUCUAAACUAAGCUCUCUCUCCCCCUCAUUUUCUAAAAUCUCAACUCUCUCACUCCCUCUAAUCUCGACUUUAUUUCUCUUCCUAUUUCUUUAACUAUGCUCUCUCUCUCUCUAACCUAUGUUCUCUCUCCCUUUUCUCUAAAAGAUGUUGAAAUUUUUAGUAGCAUUAUCUAAAAUUAAUUAAACAAGUAAAUAAAUUAAUUGUAUAUUUUUUGUAAUCUUAAAUUACAUGACUAAAUAAUAUGACUGUGUGAACCAAACAUAGAAAUGCCACAUUCUUAGUAAUAGGAUGAAUAGAAAUAAGAUUCUCGAACAUCUUUUUAUUCUUAGUAACUUUUCAUAAUGCAAACCAAACGCCCCCUAAGUUUAAUUACAUGACCUCUUUGCCUAACUAU